CAGGUGUAGUUCAAUGGCAGAACUCCAGCCUUCCAAGCUGGAUAUGCGAGUUCGAUUCUCGUCACUUG
rnacentral:tRNA from 1 species